AUGAAUAGGAAGCGGGGCAAGGGUCUUUCAUGAAAGGGGAGAAAAGAGGGGUGGGCUUUGUUCUGGGGGGGCCGCCUUGCGCAGCUUUAGAAAGGAGAGAAUUUAAGAAAGUAAGUCUCUCAACCCUUUUCUAUCUAUCUUUAGAAGUAGGGCUAGAGAAAGUAAAUAUGAUAUUUGCGUUGGUUUUUCCAACGAAACUAAGCACUUUUUUGUCUUUCUCAUUCGGUCAUUCCCACACUCUGACUUCAAUGAUGGGAAGAACCAACCUCCGCACUCCGGCGCUCCAAUGAACAAAAGUUCUCCGCCUUACUAUAUUUCGAAUAGUGGGUCGAUCCCUCGGGAGUUCAUUUUUGAACAACAUGUUAUGUUCACGCGGUUAUAUUCUAUCUUUCCAAAAGUACUCCCCUGUACGUAGUCUAUGUCUGGGGAGCAUACUUGACAGG
rnacentral:lncRNA from 1 species